ACGCUUGCCUGGCAGGGGAGACACCAUGGUCAUGCAGGUGGUUUUCCCAGGGCAAGGCUUACCCAUUGUGCUAAGGUGUGUUGACCCCUGUGAUUUCCCCGAAUGCGGGAAACUUGACUGUAUAACUGUAGUAGGGGGAACUGUGUUCAUGUUCUCCCUGU